AUUGAACGCUGGCGGCAUGCCUUACACAUGCAAGUCGAACGGCAGCGGGGGAGAAGCUUGCUUUUCCUGCCGGCGAGUGGCGAACGGGUGAGUAAUACAUCGGAACGUGCCCUGUAGUGGGGGAUAACUAGUCGAAAGAUUAGCUAAUACCGCAUACGACCUGAGGGUGAAAGUGGGGGACCGCAAGGCCUCAUGCUAUAGGAGCGGCCGAUGUCUGAGUAGCUAGUUGGUGGGGUAAAGGGCUACCAAGGCGACGAUCAGUAGCUGGUCUGACAGGACGAUCAGCAACCCUGGGACGGAGACUCGUCCCAGACUCCUAUGGGAGGCAGCAUUGGGGAAUUUUGGACAAUGGGCGAAAGCCUGAUCCAGCAAUGCCGCGUGUGUGAAGAAGGCCUUCGGGUUGUAAAGCACUUUUGUCCGGAAAGAAAUGGCUCUGGUUAAUACCUGGGGUCGAUGACGGUACCGGAAGAAUAAGGACCGGCUAACUACGUGCCAGCCGCCGCAGUAA
rnacentral:rRNA from 1 species